CCUACGGGCGGCAGCAGUGGGGGAUAUUGCACAAUGGGGGGAACCCUGAUGCAGCGACGCCGCGUGGGGGAAGAAGCGCCUCGGCGCGUAAAGCCCUGUCAGCAGGGAAGCAAAUGACGGUACCUGAAGAAGAAGCCCCGGCUAACUACGUGCCGGCAGCCGCGGUAAUACGGAGGGGGCAGGCGUUAUCCGGAUUUACUGGGGGUAAGGGGGGCGCAGUCGGCGCUGAAAGCCAGGAGGGAAAGCCCGGGGCCCAACCCCGGGCCUGCCCUUGGAACUGCGUGGCUGGAGUGCAGGAGGGGCAGGCGGAAUUCCUGGUGUAGCGGUGAAAUGCGUAGAUAUCAGGAGGAACACCGGUGGCGAAGGCGGCCUGCUGGACUGCAACUGACGUUGAGGCCCGAAAGCGUGGGGAGCAAACAGGAUUAGAUACCCCAGUAGUC
rnacentral:rRNA from 1 species